UGCCAAGGUUUUGCCGAGCUCUACAUUGG
rnacentral:piRNA from 1 species